rnacentral:ncRNA from 1 species
UUAAAAGUUGUGAGAGGGAGGAAAAUAAUUUUGACUGGUUACAGAGAAUCGGAUUAGCUGAGAGCCGAGUCCCAGAAAAAUUAUUUUUGUAGCCUUUGAACUGUAGUUUUGAAUAAAGUAGGAACUGCCGGAAUCCAGUUUGUUUUGCACCCGUUAUCUAGUGCAGAGGUAUUGAUAAUUAAUUAUAUCUAAUUUUGGUUCAGUACUUUGAGAGGCUGUUUAAACAGCAAGUUGGGUGGUACCGCGUGAGAGAACUCUCGUCCCGAUU